rnacentral:rRNA from 1 species
CGGUCGCAAGGCUGAAACUUAAAGGAAUUGGCGGGGGAGCACCACAACCGGUGGAGCCUGCGGUUUAAUUGGACUCAACGCCGGGAAGCUCACCGGAUAAGACAGCAGAAUGAUUGCCGGGCUGAAGACUCUGCAUGACUAGCUGAGAGGAGGUGCAUGGCAAAAGUUUCGCAUGGCU